rnacentral:ncRNA from 1 species
UAUAUGGAUUUUUUAAAAUCCAACAACUUUUAAUUUUACUAGGUGU